GGGAUAAAGCCAUUUAUUUCAGUAGGGACAGUCCUGAUGGGCUGUUUUAGCUCUAAAUGCUCCAUGGGGUGGUCAAGACUGUCCCUUAGAAAAUGACAUGGUGAUAUUGCAGCUUCCUUUUUCCCUCCUUCUAAUCCUUGGUUUUUUUGUUUUGUUUUAUUUGUUUUUUCUUUUCCUUCCACAGAUUUUGAUACCAAGAACACCUCAUAAUAAAUGUGUUGGCCUCUAAACUCUCUAUCAGACAGUGCUUUCCAGAGAACUCAACCUGUGACUUAUAAGUAGAACAUGAAGUUCUUAAGGGCAGCGAUCUUCGGCUAUCUUGCUCACAGAUAUCCAUCAGUUCCCAGUGCCUGGAAUGGUCUCUGGCAAAUAAUCAAUUCCUAAUAAAUACUUGAUGAUUAUAUACAACUUCAUCUGCAUGGUGCCAAAUGCCAAGGAACAAAAUAAGAUAAUUGUAGAAACAGUGUUGAACUUCCAAACCAAGAGUCCCCUAACAGUUUUUACCAUAAACCAACUGAUAUAGAUAAGCAGAAGUUGCUGUAGAUACAGCGACUUCAUUCAUUGUUGCAACAUUUAUGGAGGGCCUACUAGGUUGGGGGGAAAAGAUAAAGAAGAAAAACCACCUUUUCUCAAGAAGCUCACCGUAUAAUUAUUGGAAAGAAAUCAAGUCAUCAGUGAUGACAUCAUAAUGACAAGUACAAGGAUAUUGAACACAAGAGGCUAUGGCAACACAUGAGAAAAACAAAACAAACCAGUAAGUCCAGCCUUAGAGAGAGUUCUUCUCAGAGAAAGUGACAUCUGUGGUGAUGUGUUAGAGAACUACUGCAUGCCUUUAAGGGCACAGAUUGAAGCCCAUCUAUCUGGGUUCAAAUCCCAGCAUCACACACCAGAGACAGUUUGCCAACGUCUUGUUUCCAGUGAAGGCUCUCUUUUUUGUCAGAAAACCCUUGUGACAAUUCCACAGGCUGCGUCCAAAAUUUUGCAGGUUUCUCCCAAUGAAAAAUCAACCAGAUCAUCAAAAGACAGACAUUUUACCCACCCCCUCGGGAUGAAAAUGAUUUUGGAAAAGCAGGAGACAACUGAAAUAAGGAGAAACAAGCUUCCAGAGCAAGGUCCUAACACAACCAGGCGCGGGAGACAGUUCCUAGGCCAAAGAAGAAUGAAUAAUAACUCAUGGCAAACAGCUGGCGUCAGACAGCCAUCAUCUCCUGUAAAUGCCUGA
rnacentral:lncRNA from 1 species